rnacentral:lncRNA from 1 species
UCUUAACAAGAUUUCAGAACGUUGCAGAAGUUAGAAGAGCUUCACAAUUCCGUUGUGACAGCAUGCCCUAAUUCAGAACUACGAACGAUCCAUGACGAUCCUUCGCGAUGCAGUGGUCUCAUGAAAUAAGGAAACGUAUUCGUGCUAGAAACACACGCGAAUUUCGGACGAAUAAAUCUUGCUUGUAUUUUGUAGAUAUAAUAAUACUUUGUUUCAUAAUAAACAAUUUGUCAAGUGUCAUUUAUUUACUGGUAAUAGUGCAUGUUUCAGUCGGGCAAAUCUUGAUUAAUAUUUGAUACGCCGUUUUUUGCAUAUUUCAGACACAUCCAGAAACAUGCUCCCGAUUUUAAAGAUUAAUAUCUCCGUGAACUUUUAAGUGAAAUACAACUGUAAUAUAUCAAAAUCUAAGUUAGUCUUUCCUCUAUUUG